AUUCCAAUCGAACUCGGAGAUAGCUGGUUCUCCCCGAAAUAGCUUUAGGGCUAGCGUUAUUUUAGAUUACCGGAGGUAAAGCACUGAAUGGUCUAGGGGCCGCGAGGUUACCAAAGCCUAUCAAACUCUGAAUGCCGGAUAAUUGAUGAAUAGCAGUCAGACUGUGUGAGAUAAGUCUCAUAGUCAAAAGGGAAACAGCCCAGAUCUACAGCUAAGGUCCCAAAUGAACACUAAGUGGAAAAUGAUGUGAAACUGCGAAGACAACCAGGAUGUUGGCUUAGAAGCAGCCACUCAUUCAAAGAGUGCGUAAUAGCUCACUGGUCGAGUGGUUUUGCGCAGAAAAUGUAACGGGGCUAAGUGUUCAACCGAAGCUUAGGCAUUGUACUUUGUACAUUGGGUAGGGGAGCGUCGUAUGCGGGGCGAAGUCAGAGCGGAAGCACUGGUGGACUGCAUACGAGUGAGAAUGCCGGAAUAAGUAGCGAGAAUUAUGUGAGAAUCAUAAUGGCCGAAAAUCUAAGGUUUCCUGGGGAAGGUUCGUCCGCCCAGGGUUAGUCGGGAGCUAAGCUCAGGCCGAGAGGCGUAGGCGAUGCACAUACGGUAGAAAUUCCGUAACCACCGAAACUUAAGUCAGAGGGACACUUCAGGAUAGCGGAACCGCGGCGUUGGUAGACCGCGGCGAAAGGGACUGAAAUAUAGUAGGGAAGUCCGCGAUGCUCGGAGGCGAGAAAAGCUCUAAGGUAUGCUAAGGUGCCCGUACCGCAAACCGACACAGGUAGAUGAGGAGAGAAUCCUAAGGCCAACGGGAGAAGGGUUGUUAAGGAACUCGGCAAAUUGACCCCGUAACUUCGGGAGAAGGGGUGCUCCAGAGAUGGAGCCGCAGAGAAUCGGCCCAAGCAACUGUUUACCAAAAACACAGGUUUGUGCUAAAUCGAAAGAUGACGUAUACGAGCUGACGCCUGCCCGGUGCUGGAAGGUUAAGAGGAGAUGUGCAAGCAUUGAAUCGAAGCCCCAGUGAACGGCGGCCGUAACUAUAACGGUCCUAAGGUAGCGAAAUUCCUUGUCAGGUAAG
rnacentral:rRNA from 1 species